GAUGAACGCUGGCGGCGUGCCUAAUACAUGCAAGUAGAACGCUGAAGGAGGAGCUUGCUCUUCUGGAUGAGUUGCGAACGGGUGAGUAACGCGUAGGUAACCUGCCUGGUAGCGGGGGAUAACUAUUGGAAACGAUAGCUAAUACCGCAUGACAACAGUUAUUGCAUGAUAACUGUUUAAAAGGGGCAACUGCUCCACUACCAGAUGGACCUGCGUUGUAUUAGCUAGUUGGUGAGGUAACGGCUCACCAAGGCGACGAUACAUAGCCGACCUGAGAGGGUGAUCGGCCACACUGGGACUGAGACACGGCCCAGACUCCUACGGGAGGCAGCAGUAGGGAAUCUUCGGCAAUGGACGGAAGUCUGACCGAGCAACGCCGCGUGAGUGAAGAAGGUUUUCGGAUCGUAAAGCUCUGUUGUAAGAGAAUAACGAGUGUGAGAGUGGAAAGUUCACACUGUGACGGUAUCUUACCAGAAAGGGACGGCUAACUACGUG
rnacentral:rRNA from 1 species